ACGAUAGUAGUUUAAUGGUAGAAUUCAGGCCUGUGGCGCUUGAGGCGCGGGUUCGAUUCCCGCCUAUCGUC
rnacentral:tRNA from 1 species